rnacentral:rRNA from 1 species
GACUACCGGGGUAUCUAAGCCUGUUCGCUCCCCACGCUUUCGUGCAUCAGCGUCAGUAAUGGCCCAGUAAGCUGCCUUCGCAAUUGGUGUUCUGUGUAAUAUCUAAGCAUUUCACCGCUACAUUACACAUUCCGCCUACCUUGACCAUACUCAAGACUAACAGUAUCAAUGGCAGGUCUACAGUUAAGCUGCAGGUUUUCACCACUGACUUAUCAAUCCGCCUACGCACCCUUUAAACCCAAUGAAUCCGGAUAACGCUUGCAUCCUCCGUAUUACCGCGGCUGCUGGCACGGAGUUAGCCGAUGCUUAUUCCCGGAGUACCUUCAGUCCCGAACACGUUCAGGAUUUUAUUCCUCCGGAAAAGAAGUUUACGACGCAUAGCGCCUUCUUCCUUCACGCGGGAUGGCUGGUUCAGGCUUGCGCCCAUUGACCAAUAUUCCUCACUGCUGCCCCCCGUAGG